CCUACGGGUGGCAGCAGUGAGGAAUAUUGGUCAAUGGUCGGGAGACUGAACCAGCCAAGCCGCGUGAGGGAUGAAGGUACAGAGUAUCGUAAACCUCUUUUGUCAGGGAACAAAGGCGGGGACGUGUCCCCGGAUGAAUGUACCUGAAGAACAAGCAUCGGCUAACUCCGUGCCAGCAGCCGCGGUAAUACGGAGGAUGCGAGCGGUAUCCGGGUUUGUUGGGUUUAACGGGUGCGCAGGCGGAAGAUCAAGUCAGCGGUAAAAUGGAGAGGCUAAACCCCGGCGAGCCGUUGAAAAUGGUUUUCUUGAGGGAGUGAGAGGUAUGCGGAAUGCGUGGUGUAGCGGUGAAAUGCAUAGAUAUCACGAAGAACUCCGAUUGCGAAGGCAGCAUACCGGCGCUCAACUGACGCUGAUGCACGAAAGUGUGGGUAUCGAACAGGAUUAGAUACCCUUGUAGUC
rnacentral:rRNA from 1 species